rnacentral:rRNA from 1 species
CGUAGGUGGCCUUCUAAGUCGAACGUGAAAUCCCUGGGCUCAACCCAGGAACUGCGUCCGAGACUGGGAGGCUUGAAUCCGGGAGAGGGAUGCGGAAUUCCAGGUGUAGCGGUGAAAUGCGUAGAUAUCUGGAGGAACACCGGUGGCGAAGGCGGCAUCCUGGACCGGUAUUGACACUGAGGCGCGAAAGCCAGGGGAGCGAACG